rnacentral:tRNA from 1 species
GGUUGUAGCUCAGUGGUAAAGCACUUGCCUAGCAUGCAUGAGGCACUGGGUUCGAUCCCUGGCACCA